GAUGAACGCUAGCGAUAGGCUUAACACAUGCAAGUCGAACGAGAGAUACAGGAGGAAGUUUUCGGAUGGAAUCCAGUAGAUCGAGUGGCGGACGGGUGAGUAACGCGUGGGGAACCUGCCUCAUACAGGGGGAUAACAGUUGGAAACGACUGUUAAUACCGCAUAAGACCACAGAGUCGCAUGACUCAGGGGUAAAAACCCCGGUGGUAUGAGAUGGACCCGCGUUCGAUUAGCCUGUUGGCGGGGUAACGGCCCACCAAAGCGACGAUCGAUAGCCGAUUUGAGAGAAUGACCGGCCACAUUGGUACUGAGACACGGCCCAA
rnacentral:rRNA from 1 species